UUACGCUGUUAUCCCUAAGGUAAUUUAGUCUUAUAAUCAACAAAAAUGGAUCAAAUAUAUAUAAAUAAAUAUAAAAAAAUAAAAAGAGUUAAUUAAAUCUUUCCAUCACCCCAACAAAAUAAAUUUUCAAAUUAAAAAAAUAUCAUACAAAAAAAAUAAAAAUAUAUAUAAACUCUAUAGGGUCUUCUCGUCCCAAAAAAAUAUUUAGGCAUUUUAACCUAAAAUUUAAAUUCAAUAAAUAAAUUAAAGACAGUUUACACCUCGUCAAACCAUUCAUUCCAGCCUACAAUUAAAAGACUAAUGAUUAUGCUACCUUUGCACGGUCAAAAUACCGCGGCCCUUCAAUACUCAGUGGGCAGGCCAUACAUCAAAAUAUAUUCAAGAAGAGAUGUUUUUGAUAAACAGGCG
rnacentral:rRNA from 1 species